GGGGAAUCUUGCGCAAUGGGCGAAAGCCUGACGCAGCCAUGCCGCGUGAAUGAUGAAGGUCUUAGGAUUGUAAAGUUCUUUCGCUCGUGACGAUGAUGACGGUAACGAGAGAAGAAGCCCCGGCUAACUUCGUGCCAGCAGCCGCGGUAAUACGAAGGGGGCUAGCGUUGUUCGGAAUUACUGGGCGUAAAGCGCGCGUAGGCGGUUUUGCAAGCCAGAGGUGAAAUGCCUGAGCUCAACUUAGGAAUUGCCUUUGGGACUGCGAGGCUUUGAGGACGGAAGAGGUGAGUGGAAUUCCCAGUGUAGAGGUGAAAUUCGUAGAUAUUGGGAAGAACACCGGUGGCGAAGGCGGCUCACUGGUCCGUUUCUGACGCUGUAGCGCGAAAGCGUGGGGAUCAAAC
rnacentral:rRNA from 1 species